rnacentral:tRNA from 1 species
UCAAAAAACAAAUUUACUUUGAUUGUUAGCUUCCAAAGCUAAUAUUUUUUUUAAAUUAUUUUUUG